rnacentral:rRNA from 1 species
GAUGAACGCUGGCGGCGUGCCUAAUACAUGCAAGUCGAGCGAAUGGAUUAAGAGCUUGCUCUUAUGAAGUUAGCGGCGGACGGGUGAGUAACACGUGGGUAACCUGCCCAUAAGACUGGGAUAACUCCGGGAAACCGGGGUUAAUACCGGAUAACAUUUUGAACCGCAUGGUUCGAAAUUGAAAGGCGGCUUCGGCUGUCACUUAUGGAUGGACUCGCGUCGCAUUAGCUAGUUGGUGAGGUAACGGCUCACCAAGGCAACGAUGCGUAGCCGACCUGAGAGGGUGAUCGGGCACACUGGGACUGAGACACGGCCCAGACUCCUACGGGAGGCAGCAGUAGGGAAUCUUCCGCAAUGGACGAAAGUCUGACGGAGCAACGCCGCGUGAGUGAUGAAGGCUUUCGGGUCGUAAAACUCUGUUGUUAGGGAAGAACAAGUGCUAGUUGAAUAAGCUGGCACCUUGACGGUACCUAACCAGAAAGCCACGGCUAACUACGUGCCAGCCGCCGCAGUAA